UACGUAGGGGGCUAGCGUUGUCCGGAAUCAUUGGGCGUAAAGCGCGCGUAGGCGGCCCGGUAAGUCCGCUGUGAAAGUCCAGGGCUCAACCCUGGAAAGCCGGUGGAUACUGUCGGGCUAGAGUACGGAAGAGGCAAGUGGAAUUCCUGGUGUAGCGGUGGAAUGCGCAGAUAUCAGGAGGAACACCUAUAGCGAAGGCAGCUUGCUGGGACGUUACUGACGCUAAGGCGCGAAAGCGUGGGGAGCGAACAGG
rnacentral:rRNA from 1 species